AGUGGAUGGGGAGCAACCUAGUUGUGCGUGUGUAAAGGUAGUGCCAAGAAAAGCGAUGAUCAUGUUGAAAAUCAAUUCCCGGUACCCGAAACCGACACAGGUGGGCAAGUAGAGAAUACUAAGGGGCGCGAGGUAACUCUCUCCAAGGAACUCGGCAAAAUGACCCCGUAACUUAGGGAGAAGGGGUGCCACCGAGAGGUGGUCGCAGUGAAGAGGCCCAGGCGACUGUUUAGCAAAAACAUAGGUCUCUGCAAACUCGAAAGAGGAGGUAUAGGGGCUGACGCCUGCCCAGUGCCGGAAGGUUAAAGAAGUUGGUCAGUUUUAGGAUGAAGCUAGCGACUGAAGCCCCGGUGAACGGCGGCCGUAACUAUAACGGUCCUAAGGUAGCGAAAUUCCUUGUCGGGUAAGUUCCGACCCGCACGAAAGGCGUAACGAUCUGGGCGCUGUCUCGGAGAGAGGCUCGGCGAAAUAGGAUUGUCUGUGAAGAUACGGACUACCUGCAUUUGGACAGAAAGACCCUAUGAAGCUUUACUAUAGCUUGGAAUUGUGUUCGGGCUUCCUGUGCGCAGGAUAGGUGGGAGGCGUAGAAGGUAUUCUUGUGGGGAUACUGGAGCCAACGGUGAGAUACCACUCUCAGGAGGCUAGAAUUCUAACUUAAUUAAGGACAGUUUCAGGUGGGUAGUUUGACUGGGGCGGUCGCCUCCAAAAGGUAACGGUGGCGUACAAAGGUUCCCUCAGACUGGUUGGAAAUCAGUCGAAGAGUGCAAAGGCAGAAGGGAGCUUGACUGCGAGAAGUACAGUUCGAGCAGGGUGGAAACACGGUCUUAGUGAUCCGACGGUGCUGUGUGGAAGGGCCGUCGCUCAACGGAUAAAAGUUACUCUAAGGAUAACAGGCUGAUCUCCCCCAAGAGUUCACGUCGACGGGGAGGCUUGGCACCUCGAUGUCGGCUCAUCGCAACCUGGGGCGGAGGUACGUCCCAAGGGUUGGGCUGUUCGCCCAUUAAAGCGGUACGUGAGCUGGGUUCAGAACGUCGUGAGACAGUUCGGUCCAUAUCCGAUGUAGGCGUGAGAAUAUUGAGAGGAGCCUUCCUUAGUACGAGAGGACCGGGAAGGACGCACCGCUGGUGUACCUGUUAUGAUGCCAAUUGUAAACGCAGGGUAGCCAAGUGCGGAGAGGAUAACCGCUGAAAGCAUCUAAGUGGGAAGCCCACCUCAAGAUGAGUAUUCUGGUGUAAGGUCACGGGAAGACGACCCGUAAAUAGGCACGAGGUGGAAGUGCAGAGAUGUAUGAAGCCGAAGUGUACUAAUAGACCGUCGGCUUGAC
rnacentral:rRNA from 1 species